rnacentral:rRNA from 1 species
UACGAAGGGAGCUAGCGUUGUUCGGAAUUACUGGGCGUAAAGGGCGCGUAGGCGGGUUUCCAAGUCGGGGGUGAAAUUCCAGGGCUCAACCCUGGGACGGCCUUCGAUACUGGGAGCCUGGAGAUCGGGAGAGGUGAGUGGAAUUCCGAGUGUAGAGGUGAAAUUCGUAGAUAUUCGCAAGAACACCAGUGGCGAAGGCGGCUCACUGGCCCGAUACGUGACGCUGAGGCACGAAAGCGUGGGGAG